rnacentral:tRNA from 1 species
UCGCUGAUGGCCCAGGCGGGCACGGUGCGCUACAACCACCCCGACCCGGCGUCGGGGCUGGUGGAGCAGGAGUACAACCACCUCUUCGUCGGGC